UGUAGCUCCAACGUUGAAAUUCAGUAUGUUUCCAAAUGUAGGAUCAGCAACAAAAACUAUAGUCCUGUCAUCCACUUGCCAAAAAUCUUUAAUAGCUAAGCCAGGCGUAUCAGGAUAGUUCUGAGCUAAAACUCGCAGCUUAAAACCAGUAUCCUUUUCUAUAUCUGUGAUCUCUUGUGCAAGUCUUUUCUCCUGACCAUCCGAGAGGAAGCCAGCAACAUCAAUAACUGAAGUAAACUCCUUCGGUAGCAGUUCCGGCUUGUUCACCCCUACUAAUCCCUCAGCAAUACCAACUCCUGUUAGUGAAAGAGCAAGAGCUAAAGAACCAGAAAGCAAGAAAUUCAAAGUCUUUGAUGAAAAUUUGGAUAAUUUUGGAAGUGGGUUUUCAUUCUUGACUGAAACUCUGGAAUGGGAAUGUGAUGCUCUAAUGGCAGAGUGACAAAUUUUGCUGAAUGUGAGAGAUGAAGGAAGAUGGAAAAGAGAAGCCAUUUUCAG
rnacentral:misc_RNA from 1 species